GGAUGUGAGGGCGAUCUGGCUGCGAUAUCUGCCACCCCAUUGAUCGCCAGGGUUGAUUUGGCUGAUCUGGCUGGCUAGGCUGUGGUCCCCUACCCCCCUCACCGCUCCAUGUGUGUCCCUCCCGAAGCUGCACGCUCAGUAGAAGAGGAUGACCAUCCCAGAUAGAAGAACUGCACCAUUCUUCGGUCAAGGGUAUACGAUAGCUUUGCUCCCCUGCUAGGACCUCCAAACAAGCUCAAGGUCCAUUUGGAGGAGAACGCAGGGUAGUCAAGCUUCCAAGACUCCAGACACAUCCAAGUAAGGUGCAGCAGUAUGUAUU